AUGUUCUGGGUGCGCCAGAGACCCGGGCAGGGGCUGGAGUUGGUCGCCCACAUCACCUACAAUGGAGGCUACACCAUCUACAGUCCGUUUGGAGAUGGGGCAGCAGCCGUGACCCUGCUGGAUUGCGGGGGGGAACUGCAGCCCCCCGGGGGUUCCCUGCGCCUCCUCUGCCAAGGGUCUGGAUUCGAUUUUGGUAAAUUUGCAAUGCUCUGGAUCCGCCAGAGCCCCGGGCAGGGGCUGCAGUGGGUGGCCGCCAUCGACAGCCACGGCAUAUACAACACUGGUGGCACCACCUACUACAAUCCAUCAGUCAAGGGCCGGUUCACGAUCUCCAGGGACAACGGGCAGAGCUCGGUGACGCUGACCAUGAACAACCUCAAGGACGAGGAUUCCGCCACCUAUUUCUGUGCCAAGAGUGCUGGUGCUGGUUGGGCUGAAAGUGAUCAUGGUGCUGCCACCGCUGCGGAUGUAGGCGACGAAUUCCAGCCCCUGCCCGGGUCUCUGACGGACCCAUUGUAG